rnacentral:antisense_RNA from 1 species
AACGCGAAUAACUAAAAUGUGGGCACAAUAUUUAACCUCUUGCUUUUUUAAAGCUUAAUAAUGGAUAGUAGGGGGCAGUAUCAAGGGAUAAUUUGGGUCCCCACAGUACCAAAGCAUUUAGAAACCUCUGCUUAAUUUAAGGAAUGAGAUAAAUUACUGCUUUUCUAGAUUUGGUAGCAUGGGCUGUUGUGCUGGAGAGAACGAGAGCUACGAAGAGACUAGAAUGCCUCUGACUUUUUCAUAGGACAGUUGGCCGAGGAAGACACUUAAAGAUGAAGUGCUUAAUUCAAGGUCACAGAAUGUCGGGGAUGGACCUCCAGAUUUCCUUACUGACCUGCAUUAUCUUGUGGAUACCUGAGUGAAUUCCACACCACCCAUUUUAUAGAUGAAGCCACUGAGACGUGGAGCAACUGACUGAGUAGUCACUGCCCCACCCCUGCCUGGAGCCUCACACAUGACUUCUCUUAGUGACCACAGGUGAGACGUGGUCUUGUAACACAGUGGUUAAGAAUGUGACUUUGGAGCCAGCCUGCUAGGGGCUGAAUUCUGACUCAGCCAUUUAUUAACUGUGUGACCUUAGGCUGGCGUGCAAUGGCGUGAUCUCGGCUCACCACAACCUCUGCUUCCCGGGUUCAAGCGAUUCUCCUGCCUCAGCCUCCCGAGUACCUGGGACUACAGGCACUCGCCAC